UCACAUAUGCCGAGCGAGGUGAGGGAG
rnacentral:piRNA from 1 species